rnacentral:rRNA from 1 species
UACGAAGGGUGCAAGCGUUACUCGGAAUUACUGGGCGUAAAGGGUGCGUAGGUGGUUUUUUAAGUCCGUUGUGAAAUCCCUGGGCUCAACCUGGGAAUGGCAGUGGAUACUGGAAAGCUAGAGUGCGGUAGAGGGUAGUGGAAUUCCCGGUGUAGCAGUGAAAUGCGUAGAGAUCGGGAGGAACACCAGUGGCGAAGGCGGCUUCUUGGGCCCUACCUGACGCUGAGGCGCGAAAGCCAGGGGAGCGAACGGG